rnacentral:lncRNA from 12 species
CCGCCGCAAAGCCCCCGGGUCCCCCGCAGGUGCUGGUACUGGGCCCCCGGGCCCCCCAGGAGCUCGUACUCGGCCCCAGGGUCCCCCGCAGGGGCUCCUCCUGGCCCCCGGGUCCCCCGCAGGGGCUCCUCCUGAGCCCCCGGGUCCCCACAGGUGCUCCUCCUCGCCCCGGGUCCCCGCAGGUGCUCCUCCUCGCCCCGGGUCCCCCGCAGGUGCUCCUCCUCGCCCCGGGUCCCCGCAGGUGCUCCUCCUCGCCCUGGGUCCCCGCAGGUGCUCCUCCUCGCCCUGGGUCCCCGCAGAUGCUCCUCCUCGCCCUGGGUCCC